AGGAUGAACGCUGGCGGCGUGCUUAACACAUGCAAGUCGAACGAUUGAAGCUGGAGCUUGCUCCGGCCGAUUUAGUGGCGGACGGGUGAGUAACGCGUGGGUAACCUGCCUCAUACAGGGGGAUAGCAGUUGGAAACGACUGGUAAAACCGCAUAAGCGCACGGUAUCGCAUGAUACAGUGUGAAAACACUCCGGUGGUAUGAGAUGGACCCGCGUCUGAUUAGCUAGUUGGUGAGGUAACGGCCCACCAAGGCGACGAUCAGUAGCCGGCCUGAGAGGGUGAACGGCCACAUUGGGACUGAGACACGGCCCAAACUCCUACGGGAGGCAGCAGUGGGGAAUAUUGCACAAUGGGGGAAACCCUGAUGCAGCGACGCCGCGUGAGUGAAGAAGUAUUUCGGUAUGUAAAGCUCUAUCAGCAGGGAAGAUAAUGACGGUACCUGACUAAGAAGCACCGGCUAAAUACGUGCCAGCAGCCGCGGUAAUACGUAUGGUGCAAGCGUUAUCCG
rnacentral:rRNA from 1 species